rnacentral:tRNA from 1 species
UUUAAAAAAAAUUUUAAGUUUUCGUCUUAUUGAUAUGAAUUUUCAUUUAACAUA